rnacentral:piRNA from 1 species
UACAAGCUCAGGUGCUCUUCCA